UAGAGGCGGGAAGGGAGACGAAGGAGCCCUUCGGACGCGAGGCGGACGCGGUCCAGAGGGGGCGCAGGCGCAGGCGCUCCGAUUUCGGGCACGGUCCCCUCCCCGGCUUUCCGCGCAUGCGUAGGAGGCAGGCCACGUGGGCGUGGCGGGGGGUGGGACCGAAGGCCGGGAGGAGGAGCUGGUGUGAUGCCUGAUGCGGAGGCUGGUUCUGGGGACUAAAUAACGAUGGUGGCAGCGCAGCGCCUUACGCUUUGUAAAACAUUCCCGUCCUAAACGUGACCUCAAGGUCCUCACAACUAGCCUAAGCUGGGAGCAAACUGAGGCAGGCGGGGGUUACCCGGGGUGCCGCAGCUCUGCGGUGCCUGAGGCUGGAUUUGAACUCGGGUCUCCCAGUGCACUGCGACACCGCCUGCCUAUGUCUCCUUGUGUCCAUUGCUCAGAGGAGAAAACUGAACCCCGUCUAACCUUCAGGACCAGGAGGGAGAAACUGCAGCGCUGCCCCCCUACACAGGAACUGCAGACUCCUCCCCGCGGGUGUGGGGGUCCGCCUCGGUCCUCCUGUCCCCCCUCUCAGUCUCCCUGUCUCUCCCUCCUUCCCGGCCUUUAUCUCUGUCUCCAUCACCACCCGAGGCCCCUUUGUCCCCUCCCUGUCCCCCACAUCCCCACCUAUUGGACAUGGAGAUGGGCACACCCAAAACAUGCUUGUGACGGACCCUUUCCAAACAGCUCUCCUUGUCCAGGGUGCCAGCAUCCUUCCGCCCACCCAAAAGGAGAUGGUUGGAGUCUCUCACCCUCACCCCCCUCAAUCCAAUCCUUUGGGCAAUCGGCCCAUUCUUCAACCCUGUCUCCAGUCUCUGCCCUCACUGCAUAGCCACCCUGGUUCACCUGGACUAUCUCUUCAGCUCUCCUUCUUAGGAGAGGUCAUCUGUUCCAAGGGCCUGAGGUCGCAAAGGCUAGCCGAUCAGGGCAGCUGAGAGGGACCUUUGAGCUCCCCUGAACCAUGCCUUAGGCUGUGCUGAGUAUGGGCAGUGGCCUUCUCUUGUACCUUUAAGGCCCUGUGAAUCCCAGGACUCCGGUUCGCUCUUGGACAUGCUGGGAUGGGCUCACUCAGAAGAAGAGGGGCUAUUUUGACCUCUCUGCAGCACAGGGCUACAUCCUAACAGGGGGACUUUGAACCAGGUUGAGUCUGGGGGCUCCCAGGGCCUGGCAGCUACACUAGAAAAGAGAGGACAUUUACCCUGCCAAAGUAAUAUGGGGUUCUGGAGCAGAAUUCCUGGAAGGAUGGACAAGGCCAUGUGGUUCUGGGUAAGGGCUAUCCUUCCCCUAAAUCCCAACACACAAAAAGACAGCACCCAUAGGGUCUCCUGAAAAGACUCAGCCUUGAGGUACCAAGGCUUCCUCCUCCUCGUUCUCCUUCUUUACUCCCAGAACCUGGUCAGAGGCCACACUUGGACUUAGGAACCCCAGGACAGCAAAGGGCAAAAGGGAUGAAUGGAAUUCUGCUGACUAGAAGAGACAUGUCCAGCCAAGACUUGGCCUCUGCUAAGGAAGCCCAGGCACAUGGGGCCCUGGAGGGAAGUGGAUCUGCCCAUGGACAGACUCGGCUUGCUUGCAGGGUAGGGACAAAACACAUCAAAUGUGAACAACCCCAGAGAAGACUGUGGAUGGGGCCAUGGGACAAAGAGAGUUUGUUUGGAGGGCAAAUCCCUUGAGACUGAGCCCAGGCCUCUACACCCGGAGCUGUGAGGGUCUGGACCAGAAGGCACGUACAGAUGAAGAAACUGCAGUGACAAAAAUCUUCCCUGGACAAGGGACUGACAGAACCCCGAGCCCGAUCCAUUUGUCAGCAAGGCUGGCAGUUGCCAGCAAAUGGGGUCCAAGGACCCAGCUGGCAGUCAGAGUGGCUUCUUACCUAGUGGGUUGCAGACUAUGGCAGAGCUGAAGGGGGAGGGAAGAGCACCCACAAGCACCCCUGGAAAGUCGGGUGGCAUUGAGUCUUUGUGGUCAGGCACUCCCUGUGCCAGGGUGGUCCCACUAGGUCUGUUCUUCUCCCCUGCUCCCCCUCCUCUUGCAGCUGGGAGAGAUCUGGGCCAGGCUGGAGCCCGGAGAAGUGGUGGAGUUAAACUAACAAACUCUGCUCGUCAGGCCUCUGCAGUUGAGUCUAAAUCAAAUCCGAAAGGGCUGGCUGAUUCCAGGGACCAGAUAGGAUUCUCAACGAGUUUUGCAACACUAAGGUGCCCCGAGGCAGUGACCUGGCCUAGGCCCCCAGCUGGUGAGAGCAAGAAUGCAGCUUGGAACCUCUAUCUGGCAUUCUCUCUCCCGCCCCCUUCCGGGGUCUCGUUCAAGCCUCCCCGUCCCCAGGUGCUCACCGCUGCUCUUUUGGUCUCUCUGCCCGUUGGUGCCCGCGCGGCACCUGAUGAUCUCCCUCAGAGCACCCAGCGCCUGGGAGAGACACCCAUCUUCUUUGUAGCCUCAUGGAGCCCCCACCCUGGUAGAGUGAAAAGACACCGACCCAGACAGCUGUAGCAAUCAACCAAGAAACAUCUGGAGGCCCCUGCUGCCUGCCGGGCCCUGUGCUAAGUCCUGGACAAGGGCACACGCACACGUGCACACACACGCACAUGCAUAUACACACAACUGCAUGUGUAGGAAGUUCUCCUGAGCCUCCUUUCUGCCAGCCUGCUUCCCACUUUUCCCAGCAGAUUUUUCCAGUAAGUCUUCCCCUAGGUCACUUAGGGUUUUCACUUUAGCGAACACUGGAUUAUGGAGUUCCAUUAUUUCUGAUUCUCCCUUGCCUGUUCUGCUCCACUGAUCUCCUCUAACCAAGACCAGGCAGCUUUGAGGACCACUUCUCUGUACUGCCCUUGGAGGCCUGGAGCUUCUGUUUCCCCUCAUCCUGCCUUCUUUCCAUCAUUUCCCUUCAUGUUCUGGAUCUUUUGGGGUUUUUUUCAAGUGAUUUUUGUUGUUGUUGUUAUUUUUUCAAGCCUGUAAGCAUCCCUUGCUAAUUUAGUUAGUGUUGCAUUAAAGGUGUGAAUUGA